AAGUCGUAACAAGGUUUCCGUAGGUGAACCUGCGGAAGGAUCAUUACAAGUUGUGCGCGCAGUCGGUAAAAUGACGAGCGCGUACGGUUUAAGAUCUACUGCACGUGGAAGUCAUAUUCCCAUGUGUGCAUGGAGAAGUAGUAUUCCCAUGUGUGUAUACGUUAAUGGACGUAAUAUUCCCAUGUUAUACAUAACUACACCAUCUGUUGCAUCCGUAACCGUUACUUUUGGCAGACUUCGGGGAACUUUAUUGUUCUUCGACCUUUCUGAUUGUCCUACUAAAAAUAGGGAUUGGCAUUAGGCGGUCUGCCACUAGUACCUUCAUUCACGAAAAAACAAAACAAAUAUAUGCCUGAAACAUUUUUUGAUUGAGAAAUCAACAAAACAAUAAAUUAAAACUUUCAGCAACGGAUCUCUUGGUUCUC
rnacentral:misc_RNA from 1 species